rnacentral:rRNA from 1 species
GAUGAACGCUAGCUACAGGCUUAACACAUGCAAGUCGAGGGGCAGCAUUAUCGAAGCUUGCUUUGAUAGAUGGCGACCGGCGCACGGGUGAGUAACGCGUAUCCAACCUUCCCCAUAGUCAGGAAUAGCCCGGCGAAAGUCGAAUUAAUGCCUGAUGUUUUCCACGGACGGCAUCUGAUGUGGAACAAAGAUUCAUCGCUAUGGGAUGGGGAUGCGUCUGAUUAGCUUGUUGGCGGGGUAACGGCCCACCAAGGCAACGAUCAGUAGGGGUUCUGAGAGGAAGGUCCCCCCACAUUGGAACUGAGACACGGUCCAAAACUCCUACGGGAGGCAGCAGUGAGGAAUAUUGGUCAAUGGGCGGAAGCCUGAACCAGCCAAGUAGCGUGAGGGAUGACGGCCCUAUGGGUUGUAAACUGCUUUUAUAAGGGAAUAAAGUGAGCCUCGUGAGGCUUUUUGCAUGUACCUUAUGAAUAAGGACCGGCUAAUUCCGUGCCAG